rnacentral:rRNA from 1 species
UAGUGAAUAAUUAAACGGCCGCAGUAUUUUGACUGUGCAAAGGUAGCAUAAUCAUUUGUCUCUUUAUUGGAGGCUGGAAUGAAUGGUUGGACGAGGGGCUAACUUUCUUUACUUAAAUUUAAUGAAUUUGAUUUUUGAGUUAAAAAGCUUAAAUUAUUUUGUAAGACGAGAAGACCCUAUAGAAUUUUACUUUCAUUAUUUUAUUUUUUAUUUUGGUGUUUAUUUAGUUAAUAAUUAUUUUGUAAGUUUUGUUGGGGCGAUAGUGAAAAUUGAAUAACUUUCAUUUUUAUUUUUCAUUAAUUAAUGUGUCAUUGAUCUCAUUUUAUGGAUUAUAAGUUUAAAUUACCUUAGGGAUAACAGCGUAAUUUUUUCGGAGAGUUCAUAUCGAUGAAUAAAGUUUGCG